rnacentral:lncRNA from 1 species
GCUGACUUCUUUAACGAUUUCCUCAUAUCUCUUCUGGCUGUAGGGUGGUUCAGUGGAAUCCAUUUUGUUAACACCAACAAUUAGUUGUUUUACACCCAGUGUGUAAGCCAGAAGGGCAUGCUCACGGGUCUGCCCAUUCUUGGAGACCCUGCUUCAAAUUCACCAACACCAGCAGCAACAAUCAGGACAGCACAGUCAGCCUGAGAUGUGCCUGUAAUCAUGUUUUUGAUAAAGUCUCUGUGUCCUGGGGCAUCAAUGAUGGUCACAUAAUACUUGCUGGUCUCGAAUUUCCACAGGGAGAUAUCAAUGGUGAUACCACGUUCACGUUCAGCUUUCAGUUUAUCCAAGACCCAGGCAUACUUGAAGGAGCCUUUUCCCAUCUCAGCAGCCUCCUUCUCAAAUUUUUCGAUAGUUCUUUUGUCGAUCCCACCACAUUUGUAGAUCAGAUGGCCAGUAGUGGUAGACUUGCCCGAAUCUACGUGUCCAAUGACGACGAUGUUGAUGUGAGUCUUCUCAACCUUUUCUGUGCAUUUGCAAUGCAUCUAAUUCUGAAAUACUCCAAGAACAGAUCUGCCAAAUAAUUAAAUGAAAAAUAAUUUAAAUCUGGCCCUCAAGGUAUCUGGCCAUUAGGAAUGGCAUUUUAUUGGUGGCUGUAAAUUACAUGGUAAUAACUGAAUUUAAUCUCAACAACUAGUUACAAAAAGAUUAAUUUAAAUCAGAAUUUAAAUAUUUCAAUAUUGGAGUUUUCUCAAUUGCAUUUUCUUUCAUGCAGUUUUUGAGUCUGCCUGACAGUGGUUUCAUAAAACAAGGUAUGUCAAUUAAAGAAUUAAAGGGAAGCUAGUUUGCUGUUUUUUUUUUUUUUCUGAAACCAAGUUUUUUUUUUUGUUUUUUUUUUUGUUUUUUUUUGACAGCAUUAAAUGCAACAUCUUCAAGGAAGCAUCUGGACUAUGGUUAUAGAUGAACAUUUCUCAUUUCAUUGUCUGAGUACAAAGCCAUUUAUAGGGCAACUUAUCACAUAAACACCCCUUGGCAUCUUAUAAUAGAAAUCAAUAACACAGCAAAAAAGAAGACAGAUGUGAUUUAACCAUAUGCUAUACCAAAAGAAAAUAAAAGAUAUCCUGUGAACCUCUUAAAACUUUCUGUAUACUAUUUUUUUUUUUACCUUGUAUUGAUGCCUGAUGUAUAUUUAAUUUUCAUCAAUCUUUGGCAAAAAUAGAGUAAAGUGUUUGGAGUUUUUCUUUUUAUAAUAAAAAAAGAAUGAAAUAUUAAAUAGAAAGACUAGAAAGAAAAUAAUCAUUCUGGGAUUCAUGGAACUUUCUCAGAUUUCUUACUGUUUUUAAAUGCACCAUCACUCAGUGAGGUGUGAAGAAAUGCUUUUGAGACAUGAAAGAAAGUGGGGGAGAGGUUCAUUUAUCAAGAAGUAGAAGUCUAGAAAGAAGCAGAAAAUUAUUGUCUAUUCUGAAAUGUAGCCCAGGUAGGGAGACAUGUGGACAAGUGGGACAAGCUGAUUGUUGUAGAAAGGGAAAGUGUGAAGUGGAGUGGGGGUGACCAGGAGCUGGGAGGAUCAAUCCAGCUGAUAUUCUGGACCAGGGUAAGACCCCAACACUGAAAAGAGAGUUAAGUUGCCCCUGUCUCAGUCCCUGCAGUACCACCUGCUCAGAGUGGCUCAGCCAGAUGGUGGCUGAGGCAAAGAUGGCAGUGGAGAGACCCUUGGAACAACCAACAGUGACCUCAAAAGGCAGCCGUCAUCUAGAAAAGAAGUGACUAAAUGGCAAGCAGGUUAACAUGCUUGGCUUGAAGGGAGGAAUUCAGAGCAGUCAAAUUUGGAGAAGACAGAUGAAGACCUACUAUGAUCUUCUGACUCAGGGCAGCUUCCGUAUGGAGGGAGCUGGGGCCCCAGGACUGAGUUGUGGUAGUGUCAGCACCACGAAGACUGGCGGUUUUGUUCCUCAAGGACCCCACAGGUCAUUAUUCUGUCUAGCUGCCUUGAAGACAAGGUGAUGAUGUCUAGUAGCUAUGCCAGCCCUCAUAAAUAAAUUCUUGUCACUGCUAUUGUAGCAGUCCCCUGUUCAGAGAUGGCAAACACCUGAUUUGCAUUUUAAUGGUAAGAGAAAACUCAGUCAAGCACCACAUCAGCUCUUACAAUAAUGACUGAUAUUCUCUUUUCCAUUUCACAGGUUUUUCUUUUACCCCAGAUAUCCAUCCCCUCACUUCCUUUAAUUUCUUUUAUUAUAUAGUGUCCAAAUCACACAUUUUGAGGAGGUCAAGCUGUUUUUUUUUUUUUUUUUUUUUUUACUUUCUUUUAGUACAUUUAGCAUUUGUUCUUGUAAUUUACAUUUAAUUUUGUGAUUUUGUUAAAAGAAAAAGAAGACUUAAUAUUAUUUUAUUUUUUUUAAGAUUUUUUUUUUUUUUAUGAUAGUCACACACACAGAGAGAGAGAGAGAGAGAGAGAGAGGCAGAGACAUAGGCAGAGGGAGAAGCAGGCUCCAUGCAGGGAGCCCGACGUGGGAUUCGAUCCCGGGUCUCCAGGAUCGCGCCCUGGGCCAAAGGCAGGCGCUAAACCACUGCGCCACCCAGGGAUCCCACUUAAUAUUAUUUUAAAUUUGUAAAAUAAAAAGCCACAAUCUUAAUAGUUGCUUGUAAUUUUACAUGUACCUCCAAAUGUUAGAGGGGGCAAUUUUUCCCUUUGCUUCAGCUCCUUUGGAGCAUGAUCCUUUUCUGGAUAAAGGAUUAAGCUGGGAACUGGUCUCCUUUUCUUCUCUUUCAUAUUGUACAUCUUUAUUGAGAUAUAAUUCAUAUACCAUAAAGUUUACCCCUUUAUUUUUUAUUUUAUUUUUUUUUAAGAUUUUAUUUAUUCAUUCACGAGAGAGAGAGAGAGAAUGAGAGUCAGAGACAGAGGCGGAGGGAGAAGCAGGCUCCAUGCAGGGAGCCUGACGUGGGACUUGAUCCCAGGUCUCCAGGAUCAUGCCCUGGGCCAAAGGCAGGCGCUAAACCGCUGAGCCACCCAGAGAUCCCCAAGUUCCCUUUAAAGUGUACCCGUUAUUUAGUGGUUUUUAACUGUAUCAUAAAGUUGUAGAAUUAUCUCCACUAUCUACUUCCAGAAAAUUUUGAUCACUCCCAAAAGUAACCCUAUGCCUACUAGCCAAUUUCUCUCUUCCCCAGCCCCUGGCAAACACUAUUCUACUUUCUGUUUCUCUGGAUUUUCCUGUUCUGUGAUUUCAUAUAUACAAGGUCGUAUACUACCUGACCUACUGUAUUGUGUCUGGCUUCUUUCAUUUAACACAAUUUUUUCACGGUUCAUCCAUGCUUUAGCAAGUAUCAGUACCUCAUUCAUUUCUAUAGCUGGGUAAGACUCCAUUGAAUGGAUAUAACACAUUUUGUUCAUGGUUAUUUGGAUUGUUUCUGCCUUUGCUGUUACCAACAAUACUCCAAUGGACAUUCAUGAAUAUGUUUUUUUUUGGUGGAUAUGUGUGUUUUCGUUUAUCUUGGAAAUAAGCUGAUUUGUUUGCUAGGGCUGCCAUAACAAAAUCUCACAGAUUGGGUGACUUAUAUACCGAAGUUUAUGUUCUUACAGUUCUGGAGGCUAGGUGUUCAAGACCAAGGCGUCUGCAGGUUCAGUUUCUUCUGAGACUUUUUUCCCUGGACUCUCUCUCUCACACAGCCUACUUUCUGGGUCUUCACAUGUUUUUCCUUCAGCCAACGUGUUGUCUGUGUUCUAAUCUCUUCUUAUAAGGACACUAGACAUAUAAAGUAGAACCUGGCCUAAAGACCUCAUUUUAACUUAAUUACAUCUUUGAAGACCUUGCCUCCAAAAUUGUUUACAUUUUGAGGUGCUAGGACUCCAACAUAUGAAUUUUGAGGGGACCCUAUUUAGUCCAUGGCACAUACUUAGGAGGGAAAUUAUUGGGUCAUAGGGCAACUCCAUUUAACCGUCUGAGGAACUGUCAGUUUGCAAAGCAUCUCCACCAUUUUACAUUCCCACCUGCAAUGCAGAAAGGUUCCAAUUUUCCACAUUCUCAUCCACACUUAUUAUCUGUCUUUUUGAUUAUUGCCAUUCACUGGAGGUAAAGUUCUGAAGUGUAUCUUUUUGUGAGUUUUCCAUUUACUCAUAUUUUUCUUUUUUCUCUCACAUUGUCCCUCUUGUCCGAGUUGCUAAUGUCAUAUUUAUGUAUAUAUUUUGUGUAGUCUAAAGGCUUAAAUAUUUGAUCAUUAAACUGGUCAUAUUAGUUGUCAAAAUAGGUGAAGGAGGGCUGUAAGAGUCUGAAGAAUUGUGUAGUUUAUUAUCAAUAAAACAAACAGCACAGAUGCCUUAAAAUAUUUCUUGGAAAGCAUACAAGCUGAAUGAGUGAUUUUAGUUUAUUUACAUAUUAUUCACCCUAAAUUUGAAAACACCCUGUAUUGUUGAUCUAUAUAAACCAAUCAAACACUUACUACUUUGUCCUUUCAAUAAUACCUCUUUGCUUAUUAAAAAAAACAUCACAGCCAGUGUAAAGAUACUACCCGGCUGAAAGAUAUUUCGGGAAAUGUGUAUGCCACUG